rnacentral:rRNA from 1 species
CAAUAGCGUAUAUUAAAGUUGUUGCGGUUAAAAGCUCGUAGUUGGAUUUCUGUCAGUGAGUGAUGCUCCGCCCUUCGUGGUUGGUAGCCAUCAUCGCGCUGUCAUCUUCUUGGGAGGUGUAUCUGCACUUCACUGUGUGGUGCACAAGCCAGGACAUUUACUUUGAGGAAAUGAGAGUGUUUCAAGCAGGCGUGCGCCGUGAAUACGUUAGCAUGGAAUAAUAGCAUCGGACCUCGCUCCAAAGCUGUUGGUUUCUUGGGUCGAGGUAAAGGUGAAUAGGGAUUGUUGGGCGAUCGUAUUUACUAGUUCAGAGUGAAGUUCAUUGAUUUGAUCGAAAGACGAACAACUGCGAAAGCACUUGCCAAGAGUGUUUUCAUUAAUCAAGAACGAAAGUUAGAGGAUCGAAGACGAUUAGAUACCA